rnacentral:rRNA from 1 species
UGAACGCUGGCGGCGUGCCUACUACAUGCAAGUCGAGCGAACGGACGAGAAGCUUGCUUCUCUGAUGUUAGCGGCGGACGGGUGAGUAACACGUGGAUAACCUACCUAUAAGACUGGGAUAACUUCGGGAAACCGUAGCUAAUAACGGAUAAUAUUUUGAACCGCAUGGUUCAAAAGUGAAAGACGGGCUUGCUGUCACUUAUAGAUGGAUCCGCGCUGCAUUAGCUAGUUGGUAAGGUAACGGCUUACCAAGGCAACGAUGCAUAGCCGACCUGAGAGGGUGAUCGGCCACACUGGAACUGAGACACGGUCCAGACUCCUACGGGAGGCAGCAGUAGGGAAUCUUCCGCAAUGGGCGAAAGCCUGACGGAGCAACGCCGCGUGAGUGAUGAAGGUCUUCGGAUCGUAAAACUCUGUUAUUAGGGAAGAACAUAUGUGUAAGUAACUGUGCACAUCUUGACGGUACCUAAUCAGAAAGCCACGGCUAACUACGUG